rnacentral:rRNA from 1 species
UUCCGGUUGAUCCUGCCGGACCCCACUGCUAUCGGGGUGGGACUAAAACAUGCGAGUCGAGCGCCUUCAAGCUAUGGUGAAGGCGCGGCGAACGGCUCAGUAACACGUGGCUAACCUACCCUUUGGACGGGGACAACCCCGGGAAACUGGGCCUAAUCCCCGAUAGAUGAGAAGUCCUGGAAUGGUUUCUCAUCUAAAAGGUGUUUAGAGCAUGCUUCUAGGCGUCGCCAAAGGAUGGGGCCGCGGCCGAUCAGGUUGUUGGUGAGGUAACGGCUCACCAAGCCUAUAACCGGUACGGGCCGUGAGAGCGGGAGCCCGGAGAUGGGCACUGAGAUAAGGGCCCAGGCCCUACGGGGCGCAGCAGUUGCGAAAACUCCGCAAUGCGCGAAAGCGUGACGGGGCUACCCCGAGUGCCGUCCGCUGAGGACGGCUUUUCCACGGUGUAAGGAGCCGUGGGAAUAAGGAGAGGGCAAGACUGGUGUCAGCCGCCGCGGUAAUACCAGCUCUCCGAGUGGUGGGGACGAUUAUUGGGCUUAAAGCGUUCGUAGCCGGCUCAGCAAGUCUUCCGUUAAAUCCAGCGAUCUAAUCGUUGGACUGCGGGAGAUACUGUUGGGCUAGGGGGCGGGAGAAGCCGACGGUAUUCUCGGGGUAGGGGUGAAAUCCUAUAAUCCCUGGAAGACCACCAGUGGCGAAGGCGGUCGGCUAGAACGCGCCCGACGGUGAGGGACGAAAGCUGGGGGAGCGAACCGGAUUAGAUACCCGGGUAGUCCCAGCUGUAAACGAUGCGGGCUAGGUGUUGGGGCGGCCACGAGCCGCUUCAGUGCCGCACGGAAGCAAUUAAGCCCGCCGCCUGGGGAGUACGGCCGCAAGGCUGAAACUUAAAGGAAUUGGCGGGGG